GAGGAAUGGGAGGAUGAUGAGUUAGAAAUUGUUCCCAAGGAGGAGGCUGCUGAAGAAGUUGAAUUUGGAGAUGAUAUCUAUCUAGAUGGACAUGACCUUGAGGAGAUUCUUGGGGCUGACUCACCUGUGGAUGGUGCUCCACAUCCGUUGAACUGCUAUAGUGAGGGAAAUGCUAGCAACAGUGGGGAAACAAGUAACUCCUUUGAAGAAGCACAAAACUGGCUUCAGCAACCGGAUGAGCAGGAAUCAUUUGAUCCUGCAAUUCAACAGAUCAAUGCAGAUACAAAUCCUGUCAAGCAUGAAUUCAUGAGUGAACCAAGCAAUAGUAUGAGCACUGAAGAUGUGGAUUACUUGCUUGAUGAACCAGUUAUAACUGCAACUGAUAACCUUCAAUUCAG
rnacentral:misc_RNA from 1 species